rnacentral:sRNA from 1 species
CUUUAGCCCUGAUCGAAGCGGCAUCCCCGAUUUAGGAAGACAAGGCUUUUUUGCCUUGUUUUCCUAAAUCGGGGAUAUAGCGGAGAGCAGGAAUCCAU